rnacentral:antisense_RNA from 1 species
GGAAAGGAUUCCUUAUCAGCAGACAGUUACAGCUCCCACUAGGACACUGCCUUCUCAGAGGCUUCAGUUAUCAGAUAUUCCUGGACAUACUUUCCAAGCCAUGAAAAAUAACAGCCACAGCUUUCCCAGCACUCUGACAAACGUCCAUGAGCCCCCAAAGACUGGGAAGUAAUGAUGAUGCAGCUGCGGCACCAGAGAAGAAACAAGUGAUUUCAGUCAAAGGGCCUGGACUCACGAGCCGGCAACUUUGGACAGAUUCGUGAACUCUCAGCCUCAGUUUCCACUUCUGUAAAGGGAGAUAACUACAGUGACCUUAAGGUUAUCUUGAAGAUGCCAAUGAGCUAGUGAAAAUGCAAUUUAAUCUGUACAGAACUAAACAAAUGCUCUUUUAAUACAAAUUAAUUAAAAGCAGGCAUCUUAAGAGGUGGCUUAAGAAGACUCCUGCAUCAUCAUAGGGAGUUAAAAUUCUGAGCAAAAAGCCUUCUGCAGGAGAAGCAUAGGACAGGCAGCCCCAAGACUGGACUGGAUAGAUGUUGCCGAGCCACCAACUCUGAGGGACUUGAGGCAAAGCCAGGUGACCUCACUGGUGCUCCAUGUUCUCACCAUAAGUUCUAUAGGACACUCAAAUAUUCUCAAGACACCAGUUUACUAUACACAUGCACACACACAUAUUUUACAUUUCAUUCAAAGGGUAAAACAUAGACUCCCUUUGUUCUAUAAACCUACAAACAUGUCUGAGCAUUUUUUACAUAAAUAUUUCACAUAAAUAUUUUACACGAAUACUUCGACUUAUAAGUCCAUAUUUUAACAAUGGCAUCUUUUCCAAUGUGUACAUUAUGGAAGUGUGGUUGGGGUGUAGAGCCUAGGAGCUCAGGGACUGCACAGGCCUGUUCUUUAUGAAUGCAUUGCAUUCAUCUCCCACAGCCAUUUGUAGCUUCAGCUGUUUCUGAAAGCAGCCACUUUCCCUUUUGAUGUCUGAGGUUCAUUAUUUUCAUUUUUGACUUAACCAACAGGUGUUCUCUCUUGAACUCUUUCCUACAUGAGCUGUCUUCCCUCAGGGUUCCCAUGGACAGGAGAGAUUUUCCCUACAGUGUUACUGAGAGGCACAGAGAAAUCAGUUCCUCCUGGUUCACUGGUUCCACUCGCAGCACUGCAGUCUCUUGUGACCACGCUGAAGUCUCAAUGUUUCCCCCUUCUGAGAACAUGCAGGGACAGAAGGGUGAACCACAAGGGCCAGACCUAAUGCUCCAGGAAAACAAUGAAAGAACAAUUUUCCAUCCUUUCAUUUAGGGCUUAAGUAAGCCAGGCCUAUAACACCAAAUUGUGAGAGUGCACAAGAUGUUUUUGAACCUUGGUGCAGAAUCCAGAAAGAAGCGUAGCCUCUGGGGACAGGGUCUUGGGCUAGCCAUGUGAAGCCUGGCUUUAUGUCAGACCUCUCAAAUGUGCUGUACAAACCUACCUGCAGGUGUACUCUAGGCAGAAGGGGUGGACUGAUGGCACCAACAAACACAUCUGUACACACAACAGUGCAGCAGACACUUGUGGAUGGGGUAUGAGACAAGAUGAAGAUGCCCUCAAUUAAAUCUGAGGACAAAAGAAGACUGCCCAGAGAGUGGCACUAGCAUGGCAACAAAAUAUUUCAAAAUAUUAAUGGGUUUUACACACACGCAUAAAAUCACAUUUUUCUGACCUUAUAACACAGUUCAGUCAUUUAGGUAUUGACUUUUUAAUGCUUGUGGAUACUCAAAAAAUUGAAAGAGGCGAAGUUAGACUUCUUGUCCCCAAGACCGGAAAUAUGUCCCUUGGUUGAGAGUUGGGUGGUGUUGAAUGCAGUUGGGGUGGAAGGAGAGGAGAGCUAAUGGGAAAACAAAGAAUAAGCAAAUGUUCUACAUUCCUGAGAAAAGGGGCCCUACUCCCUAGCCAUCUCUGCAGCAAAGCCCUGGGGGAGAAAGAGAGAAUGCUCAGACAUGUUUGUAGGUUUACAGAACAAAGGGAAUCUAUGUUUUACCCAUUGAAUGAAAUACAGGAAAGCAAAAUACCUAGAGCAGAAAUGGCUGUGUGAUAUGUCAGACAAGGUCAUAGAGUUUUCCAUGGCCCUGCACUGCCCAUGGCUCAUGUGGCAUGACUGUAGGUGAAACCCAGAAUGGACUCUCAAGGUGCCCUGGGCUCCCUUCCUCAAUGGCUGAAGAAGGCUUCUCUUGACCUAAUGGAGUUUAAAGAGACUUGGGGAUAUAGUGAACUGGACCCCAAAAGCCUUUCAAACAGGAACUAGGGGGCACCCAUCAGGACCUUGUGGACUGACAGUGGAGGAUCAAUGGGACAAAAUGUGUCAUGGAAAUACCUUCAGGACAGACAGCAUUGGGGAACAGAUACCAGCUCCUUACAGUCUUGGCCUCCAGAUUAGACAUGGCCCUGGAAAAAGGUGAUGGGGGACCUGGAAUUACUGGACAGCAAUUCCGUUCCCCCACUUAGUGGAAUGGGAGCACAACAUGUAAAUUAAAGGAAUUAGAGAAAAACA